rnacentral:lncRNA from 1 species
CUCCAAUCUGCUGACCAACCCUAUUGGAUGUAGGACCCACCAAGCUUCCACAAUCUUAUGAGUCUCUUUGUCUCCCCUCCCCUCCUUCUGUCCCUUUGUAGAACCCUGACUCAUACAGAAUAAAUUUAGGAUGAGUCUCUUUAAAACUGUUGUGACCACAUAACGUUCCCUUUGGAAUAUCCUACAAUGUGUGAUCUCUUUCCUGAAAGCCUUCUCCAAGCUUCACUGACAGUUCAAAGGUGUCUUCCACCUUGCACUGGAGGCCGAUGGUGUCUGUGACUGUAGUUGUCCCCCAGGUGUUCUGUGUCUCCCUCUCACUGUCCUCUGAGAGGCUGUCUAAUACCCCUUGUGGAGUAGCUGACAGGGUCCUUUCAGUUCAUCACCUUGGAUUUUUGAAAAAGGUUUUCUAUUAGUACGUGUUUGCAGUACAUGCUUCCGUUCAUCGUGGGGGGAGAUGUGCACUGGAUGCUGGAAAAAGAAAACAACUCAGACAUCUAUCCUGCUCUUUCGGAUCAUGUUCUGCACAUAAGGAUGCUCAGUGAAGACAGUGAAAGGACAUUACCACAAGCCGGCUGGUUUACAGCUGCCACAGGGUUAGCAUCACCUUCUGACACCACAGAUGUCUACAGGUGUGAUUUAAGGUAUACUUU